UACGGGGGGGGCAAGCGUUGUUCGGAAUUACUGGGCGUAAAGGGCGCGUAGGCGGGGGGCUAAGUCUCUCGUGAAAGCCCACGGCUCAACCGUGGAAUUGCGGGAGAUACUGUCUGUCUUGAGUCCGGGAGAGGAGGGUGGAAUUCCCCGUGUAGCGGUGAAAUGCGUAGGUAUUGGGAGGAACCCCGGUGGCGAAGGCGGCUCUCUGGCCCGGUACUGACGCUGAGGCGCGAAAGCUAGGGGAGCAAACGGG
rnacentral:rRNA from 1 species